UAGGCAAGCACCAUUCUACACACUGUACAUAUACAUUAUCUCUAUACAUUUACAUGUCCACACUAGCUAGUACACAACUCUGUACUCUUCCUGUACCCUGCUGAGUUCUCUCUGACCUCUGAACCUGCACAACUGAAAUUAGGGGAGAGGGAUGAGCUACAAUAGCCCAGUGAGUAGAAUAGGCAAAUACAGGUGAUAAAACAUGCUCUCAUGGAAUGCAACACAUAAUCACAUAACCUCGGCCGGACGGAUCAAAACUCCCUCUAUCUCAUCUGG
rnacentral:lncRNA from 1 species